rnacentral:rRNA from 1 species
GACGGACGAACCUCUGGUGUGCCAGUUGUCCUGCCAAGGGCACUGCUGGUUGGCUACGUUCGGAAGGGAUAACCGCUGAAAGCAUCUAAGCGGGAAGCCUGUUCCAAGAUGAGGUUUCUCACCCACUCGAUGGGUUAAGGCCCCCUACAGACCAUGGGGUUGAUAGGCCAGAACUGGAAGCCCGGUAACGGGUGGAGGUGACUGGUACUAAUAGGCCGAGGACUUACCAAC